UUGCAAUGAUGUUGAAACGAAUUACUUCACCUGAACUUUUAGAUGAAGAAAAGCGCUAACCUCUGAGCAAG